rnacentral:rRNA from 1 species
AAAACUUUCAACAACGGAUCUCUUGGUUCUGGCAUCGAUGAAGAACGCAGCGAAAUGCGAUAAGUAAUGUGAAUUGCAGAAUUCAGUGAACCAUCGAAUCUUUGAACGCACAUUGCGCCCCUUGGUAUUCCGGGGGGCAUGCCUGUUCGAGCGUCAUU